rnacentral:lncRNA from 1 species
UUUAAGCAAAUAGGCAUUUUAAGUCAACUAAACAUGCUCUUCUAACUAACAACAGGUUAAGUCAACAAUUACAGUAAAGCAGAGGAAAGGGACAUGCAAGGAAUACUUUAAGAAAAAUCAAAGUUUUCAACAACUUGCACAAGCACGCACACAUCACCUCACGCACAAGGCAAUUAAAUUACCAAACAUCAUAUCCUAAGGGAAGGAGUCCCCUACACAAGGUUAGACAAGCCACUUACCUCGAAUCAGCUCAAAGUCAACUAGAAAUCAUGCCUUUGCCACGAGUAUCCGACUCCAAAUGGCCCAAAUUUAUUCAAUUCAAUUGCAUAUCCUAAAUAACAUCUCAAACAGCUGAUUCUACGAUUAAAUUCAAAGCUAAGAUGCGAAAUUAGGUAAAGUGACCAAAACUCCUCUCAGGCCAGCGUCACUUAAUCGGGUGAAACUUAUAUUUUCGGAAACCUCAUACUCUCACGAGUCUAUACAUAACAAGAACACAAAAAUUGGAGUUCAAAUGACCCCUCAAAUCCCAGAUCAAAAUUUAAAAUCCCAAGCACUAGUUCUUCCAUUUUUGUGCAAGUUUCCAUUAAUUUCUAGGUUAAUUUGGAGUUCAAAUGACCCUUCAAAUCCCAGAUUAAAAUUUAAAAAUCUCAACCCCUAAUUCUUACUUUUGAGUUCAAUUCAAUGAAUUUCUAGAUUAAGUUCACAAUAUAGUCACGUUUUUGGUAAAUAAACCUCCAAUUGAUUCUCUUGAAUUGCUUCAAUGCCUUUCUCUUUCUCUUCCUUCCUCAAG